rnacentral:lncRNA from 1 species
GCAAGAAAAAGAAUACAUGGAAGGAGAAAAAGAAAGAAACUACAGUUCAAGGAAGAAGAAUACAUAUGUGACAACUUCAUCUAAGACUACACAAAAUCAAGAGAUACUAAGUUAUGGCAAAUUCUCACCAAAAUCGCAAGACAAAGUGCCAUAUCAAUUUCUCAUCAAGGCCAUAUGAUAUAUUAAUAUUAUAUUGCAAUUUCUCAUCAAAACCAUAUGAUAUAUUAAUAUUAUUUUGUAAUUUCUCACCAAGGCCUUGUAAGAAUAUUCCUAUAAAUAGCCAUAUGUUUGUAGAUGAAAAGGCAUCCCACUUUGUAUCCAAUUUCCUAUUUAGUUUUUCUUAAGUUCUAAAGAGAAAGAGAAGAGCACUCUUGGUCUCCUCCUCUAGUCUUCUCUUUGCAGUAAAAAUAUGCUUAGUCUUUUGAAAGUAUUUUUUAGCUUUUCUUACUUCAUAAUGGAGUAAUUUUUCUUUGUUAGGAUAGUUGAUGAAACUCGAUAUAAUUAUAAUACUAUCUCAGUUUUAAUACAUUCUUAACCUGAAACUCUAUUUACAUUUCAUAUAGUGAUGGAAUGGUAAUUUUUCUCAUUUUUAAUACAUUCUUAGCCUGAAACUCUAUUUACAUUUCAUAUAGUGACGGAAUGGUAAUUUUUUAAUCAUUAUUAUCACAUCUACAUAUUUUAUAUCUAAGUUAUUCCUAUAUUAAUUUUGUAAUUCUCAUAGAGCAAAAUUAAUAUAUAAUAACUGAUGAAUAGAAUAUUAGAGUGAAAGUAAUUUUUAUUAAAAUUAUUAUUUCAAGUCUGUAAUCUUGCUUUCCUCAGUUUUAGUUCUCACGGAGGAAUUAUUGAAGGCAAGAUUAUUGAUUUUCUAGUAAAAAUAUUCUCACGAAGUUUUUACUACACUUGAGCACAAAAUAUUAGAGUCAAAAUAAUUUUUAGUAAGAUUAUUGUUUCAAGCCU